AUUGAACGCUGGCGGCAUGCCUUACACAUGCAAGUCGAACGGCAGCGGACCUUCGGGUGCCGGCGAGUGGCGAACGGGUGAGUAAUGCAUCGGAACGUGCCAUUGAGUGGGGGGAUAACGUAGCGAAAGUUGCGCUAAUACCGCAUAUUCUGUGAGCAGGAAAGCAGGGGACCGCAAGGCCUUGCGCUCUUUGAGCGGCCGAUGUCAGAUUAGCUAGUUGGUGAGGUAACGGCUUACCAAGGCGACGAUCUGUAGCGGGUCUGAGAGGAUGAUCCGCCACACUGGAACUGAGACACGGUCCAGACUCCUACGGGAGGCAGCAGUGGGGAAUUUUGGACAAUGGGGGCAACCCUGAUCCAGCCAUGCCGCGUGAGUGAAGAAGGCCUGG
rnacentral:rRNA from 1 species